rnacentral:rRNA from 1 species
CUGAUUAUAAAUUAAAGGGCUGCAGUAUUUUGACUGUACAAAGGUAGCAUAAUCAUUAGUCAUUUAAUUGAUGACUUGUAUGAAAGAUUGGAUGAAAUAUAGACUGUUUCUUAAUUAAUUAUAAAAUUUAAUUUUUUUAUUAAAAAGUUAAAAUAAAUUAAAAAGACGAGAAGACCCUAUAGAGUUUUAUAAAUAAAAAAAAUUAAUAUUAUUUAUAAUUAUUAAAGUUAAAAUUUUAUUAUUUAUUUUGUUGGGGUGACAAAAAAAUUUAUAUAACUUUUUUUUUUAGAAAACAUUAAUAAGUGAAUAAAUGAUCCAAUAAUAUUGAUUAAAAGAAAAAAUUACCUUAGGGAUAACAGCGUAAUUUUUUUUUUUAGUUCAAAUAAGAAAAAGAGUUUGCGACCUCGAUGUUGGAUUAAGAUAAAAUUUAAAUGCAGAAGUU